UACGUAGGGGGCAAGCGGUGUCCGGAAUCAUUGGGCGUAAAGCGCGUGUAGGCGGUCCGGUAAGUCCGCUGUGAAAGUCGGGGGCUCAACCCUCGGAUGCCGGUGGAUACUGUCGGGCUUGAGUACGGAAGAGGCGAGUGGAAUUCCUGGUGUAGCGGUGAAAUGCGCAGAUAUCAGGAGGAACACCAAUUGCGAAGGCAGCUCGCUGGGACGUUACUGACGCUGAGACGCGAAAGCGUGGGGAGCAAACAGG
rnacentral:rRNA from 1 species